rnacentral:rRNA from 1 species
UACGGGGGGAGCAAGCGUUGUUCGGAUUUACUGGGCGUAAAGGGCGCGUAGGCGGUCAGCACAAGUCAGUUGUGAAAUCUCCGGGCUUAACUCGGAAAGGUCAACUGAUACUGUGCGACUAGAGUGCAGAAGGGGCAACUGGAAUUCUCGGUGUAGCGGUGAAAUGCGUAGAUAUCAGGAGGAACACCUGUGGUGUAGACGGCUUUCUGGACCGUAACUGACGCUGAGGCACGAAAGCGUGGGUAGCAAACAGG